GACGAACGCUGGCGGCGUGCUUAACACAUGCAAGUCGAACGGUAAGGCCCUUCGGGGUACACGAGUGGCGAACGGGUGAGUAACACGUGGGUGAUCUGCCCUGCACUUCGGGAUAAGCCUGGGAAACUGGGUCUAAUACCGGAUAGGACCCUGGGAUGCAUGUCCUGGGGUGGAAAGCUUUUGCGGUGUGGGAUGGGCCCGCGGCCUAUCAGCUUGUUGGUGGGGUGAUGGCCUACGAAGGCGACGACGGGUAGCCGGCCUGAGAGGGUGACCGGCCACACUGGGACUGAGAUACGGCUCAGACUCCUACGGGAGGCAGCAGUGGGGAAUAUUGCACAAUGGGCGCAAGCCUGAUGCAGCGACGCCGCGUGAGGGAUGACGGCCUUCGGGUCGUAAACCUCUUUCAGCACCGACGAAGCGCAAGUGACGGUAGGUGCAGAAGAAGGACCGGCCAACUACGUGCCAGCCGCCGCGGUAA
rnacentral:rRNA from 1 species